UACAGAGGGUGCGAGCGUUGUCCGGAAUUACUGGGCGUAAAGGGCGCGUAGGCGGUUCGGUAAGUAGGAGGUGAAAUUUCGGGGCUCAACCCUGAAACUGCCUUCUAAACUGCCGAACUGGAGCACGGUAGAGGCAGAUGGAAUUCCCGGUGUAGCGGUGGAAUGCGUAGAGAUCGGGAAGAACACCAGUGGCGAAGGCGGUCUGCUGGGCCUAUCCUGACGCUGAGGAGCGAAAGCGUGGGGAGCAAACCGG
rnacentral:rRNA from 1 species